rnacentral:lncRNA from 1 species
CAUGGACUCAAUCUCGGACUUCAUGACCUUAAGCUAUUUUUGGGAGUCGGGCCCUUGUAUGGCCUCCAUAUAGGUGAUCGGAUCCUUAUUAUUCUCAUCAAGUUCAAUAAGAUCACCGUCCUGGAUUAGAAAACUGUAGUAUCUGUCUGGCUGAUGCGGUACUCUACCGGAUCUCCUUAAUGGUGCCUCUAUUGGCUCCGAAUUC